rnacentral:lncRNA from 1 species
GGGGAAGAAGCAUGAACUUUUUAUUUGUGUGCACAGGGCAUUCCUAGCGAGUUAACACCUUGUAUGCGUUCCCAUUCAGCACUUCGCAAGGUCCAGCGGCGUUUUCUGCAGCUGAUAACUGGAGAUUUUUCCUUCAGACUUCUGUGUUUUAAAUCCUGAAACUGCUGUGCAGUCAGAAAAAACCCACCCGUGUAUACAAAGUGUUGCACUGCGAUAUUGUUCACAGUGGGGCUUUAGAAAGAAUUCUGUAGGGGAUCUUUUAAAAUGUGCGUUUUGCAAUCCUACUGUCUGUGUAGGGCAAACGCUUCAGUUACUGAUGCCCGAUGUUGAUAAGGUUGUGUGCAGAGUGCAGUUCAAAGGAAAACAUCCCUGCGAGAAGGGAAAAUCUGUAGCUCCUGUUUUCUGCUCUACCGCUUAUCGGAGAGGGCGCCUCGCUCACGUACAGACGUGUUCUUUCAGCAGUGGUGGAGAAGCAGCUUGUGUUUCUGUCCGAAGGAUUUUUAGCUAUACUGCCACCUUGAAGACCUGCGAUAAAUAACAAGCUGGAAGGUGCUCUGGGCAAGGCUGUGAAUGAAAAGUACUGUGUAUACGCAUAAAGAGAAGUUCCCUAUUUAUUUUUCUGCCGACAAAGCCUGCAAGCCUCUGGUUUCAGGUAGCACUUCUUAGAGUUGGGGAGUUUGUCCUGCAAGAGAGAGGCAACAGUAGAGGCAAGAUUGAUCAAGGGUGUCCUGGAUGAAGGGAAGGUGGAUUGUGAAAGUGCUUAUUCCUGUGGGUACAGAAAGGGAUGAUCCCGUGUGUCAGUGUGCCAGUCUGUUAGUGGAUUUGCUAGUCUUUUGACUCUUAUGCUGGUACAUUGAGAAGCAUGCAUCCCUGUCUACAAAACAGUGAAAGCCUGAGUUCCUUGCAGGUUGUGAGUACCAGCAGACUUCAGACCAUGUUUGCAGCCUUUUGACACCAGUGCUGUGACAUCAGGCAAGCAACCUUGUCAUUCUUAGCAACCUACUUUUCACAUGUUUUUUUUUUGUGCGUUAGGUUUAGAAUUUGGACCUCCUGCUUUGAGGAAACUAAAAACUUUCUGAUAACCACUAUCAGGUUUUCUUGUUCCAAGUCAAUUAGCCGCUUCUGGCUUCAGGUCCAUUUAGAAGGCUGAAAAGCAGUGCUCUUUGAAAACCUCGUAAUAGCAGUUGAGUUAAUAUUGGUAAAGGAGUGCAUCUCUGUGGGUAGCCUGAUGUCACUGUGCUGCGUCUGGGGGAAGCAAAGCUGCUCUUGGUGAGCUAAGUGAGAUGGGAGGUGGAAGUAUUUCUCUUACAUACUUUUAACUGUAUGGCUUGAAAUGAAAAUAGAGAAUAAUAUAGUUAUUAGGGUUGUGGCGAAAGCCUAUUUGAAUGCAAGCUGUCCACUGUGUCAGGCUGCUCUUCAGUGACCUCUGAGUCAAGAAGACACGUGGUACUAUCUGUCCUAUUAUUUUUUAAUUGCAUGAUUACAUUAAGAGAGAAGGAAAGAGUACUGUGUACAGUUUUGGGCCCCUCGCUGUAAGAAAGACAUCGAGGCCCUGCAGCGUGUCCAGAGGAGGGCAACAAAGCUGGUGAGAGGUCUGGAGCACAGGCCUUAUGAAGAGCGGCUGAAGGAGCUGG